rnacentral:rRNA from 1 species
UACGUAGGGUGCAAGCGUUGUCCGGAUUUAUUGGGCGUAAAGAGCUCGUAGGCGGUUCGACAAGUCGGGUGUGAAAAACUCCGGGCUCAACCCGGAGACGCCACCCGAUACUGUCGUGACUGGAGUCCGGUAGGGGAGUGGGGAAUUCCUGGUGUAGCGGUGAAAUGCGCAGAUAUCAGGAGGAACACCGGUGGCGAAGGCGCCACUCUGGGCCGGUACUGACGCUGAGGAGCGAAAGCGUGGGUAGCAAACAGG